rnacentral:rRNA from 1 species
UACGAAGGGGGCGAGCGUUGUUCGGAAUCACUGGGCGUAAAGGGCGCGCAGGCGGUCCAUCAAGUCAGGCGUGAAAGCCCCGGGCUCAACCCGGGAAUUGCGCUUGAGACUGGUGGACUUGAGGACGGGAGAGGAGAGUGGAAUUCCCAGUGUAGAGGUGAAAUUCGUAGAUAUUGGGAAGAACACCAAUGGCGAAGGCAGCUCUCUGGACCGUUACUGACGCUGAGGCGCGAAAGCGUGGGGAGCAAAC